GCUCCCUGCCCAACCCCCAAGUCCCAGGAGCUGGCAGCCACGCAGGGCUCUGGCCCUGGGGCGCCAGCCAAGGCUGACCCAGGCACAGGGAUUUCACAGCAGGAAAGAAAAGCUGCCCCUGUCCACUUGCGGAGCUGGUCCCACACCAUGCCUUUGUCCUCAAGGAGAGCUGGUCACAGACCCCUGUCCCCAGCUGACCUCAAGCAAGUGGAGGCGCAAAGGGUGGAGGUGAACUGUCCAAGAUCACAGCAACAGGCCAGGACUCGCAGCCCGCCCUCCUGCCUCACUGCCUUCCUUCUCUCUCAGUCUGUCCACGCUAGUUCUCCAGGCCAGGCGACGAAUCACCAUCGGCAGGAUCCAGGAUUUAAGCCAAAGCAGCAAAGCUAUGGUGAGGGGAUUUCCGGCACUGGCCAGCAGAUCGGGGCUGAAGAGAGGACCCGGGAACCCUCCCAGGACGGUCGAGACCAUUCCAGCACCGUCAACAUGACAGACGCAGGCCCGGGCUUGGUCAGGUUCACUGUUCGCUGGCUGUGUGGAUGGACCCGUUGCUGAACAUUUCCGACCUGGCUUCCUCAUCUGUACGCUAGGAGUAAUGCUGCCACUUUUACCAAAUGGAUGAAGGGCGAGGACAUCCUGAGCCCCGGUCAACCCUAAAUCCCCUGAGAGAUGUCCAGAAAGAGAAUCCACUGGCUGGACCUCAGGGCAUCAGUUCAACCCAGAGAUCAAGAUGGGGUAUUUUGACCCUGACCAAGAAAGGGGUUCAAGUGCUGGAGGCUGGUCCAGGAGUCGGCCACAGAUGAGACCCAUCUCAUCCAGCUGGCCAUUCAGGCUUAGAUGUUGCCUGACCACCACCCAUCCCCUCACCUCACAAAAACCUGAAGGAACCAAUUUCAGCAUCCACAAGGUUGCCCAGGUUCUGAAUAGAGCCGCCCAGGAGAGAGGCUGUCUUCAGCCCUGCAAAGGAGCAAAAGAAAGGUUUCUGGCAGACAAGGACACGGUGAGGAUCGCACAGGCAGUGGGAAGGCAGGUGCAGAGGCAGGACACGGCAAGCACGCUCAGGAGGCUCCCAGGACUCUUCAGCAUCCUCUGUUGCCGGGCCCCGGCAGGCAGAGCUGGGUCCCAGCCCCGCCACGGGUCUGCACCUCUGUGCUGAUGGUCCUCAUCAGGUAGAAGUGUGAUGCCACUAGUAUUCUCAAACCUUGUUUCUCCUGCCACCCACUCGAAAUUCAGACAAACUCCUCUCCGCUUCACGUUCUUUCUCCUGGUCCCCACUGGUCCCAGCUCAUCAGAGGCAGCGGGGCAUGGUGGGAAGACUACGGGUGUAGGAGCCAGGAGCCUUGUUUCCAUUCUGCCUCCCAUUUACUGUGUAACCUAAGGCAGGAGUCACACCCUUCUGGGCCCUGCCUACCUCCUCUGCAAACCAAUGGAGGUCGACCACUCAGGGUCAGAGGCCCUUCUAGCUCUUUUUGGAAGAACGUGGCAUAGUGGGUGUGGCACUGCCAUUUUUAACCCCUCUGCAUCUCACUUCAUCCCUACACGUCAACUCAGCCACACUUGCUGCUGCUGCUACUGCUGCUAAGUCGCUUCAGUCGUGUCCGACUCUGUGUGACCCCAUAGACGGCAGCCCACCAGGCUCCACCAUCCCUGGGAUUCUCUAGGCAGGAACACUGGAGUGGGUUGCCAUUUCCUUCUCCAAUGUAUGAAAGUGAAAAGUGAGAGUGAAGUCGCUCAGCCGACUCUUAGCAACCCCAUGGACUGCAGCUCACCAGGCUCCUCCGUCCUUGGGAUUUUCCAGGAAAGAGUACUAGAGUGGGUUGCCAUUGCCAGCUAAUUAACCCCUUACAAGCUGGGCCACUGACAGGACAGCAACGGGCAAUGAAAUAAGCAAGGCUGGUGGAAAGGGAAAGAUAUAGCAACACUCUAGUUCAUCCAUACCAAACUUCUGGGCAGGAAGCAUCUCAGUUCAGGGUAGCUGUACACCAGGCUGGUUAUCAGAAAGGGGUACCUCUCAUCCAUCAAGGGUCCUCUCUUAGGGUUUGGUACUUCAAUUCGCAUCAACAGUGUGUACACACUUGGAGCUAUUUUUACUCUAAGAUAUCCACUGAACAAGGACAACAUUGAGCCUCAAAGAAAGUGACAUGCCCAAAAUCACACAGCACAUCAAUGCUCAAUCCAGGGUUUCAAGCCUUGAUUUCCAUUCUAGGUUAAAACCAAGGCUGCCUUUUAGAUGGACUGUGAUACAACCAGAAGGAAAGUUAUGACCAACCUAGAUAGCAUAUUAAAAAGCAGAGACAUUACUUUGCCAACAAAGGUCUGUCUAGUCAAGGCUAUGGUUUUUCCAGUGGUCAUGUAUGGAUGUGAGAGUUGGACUAUAAAGAAAGCUGAGUGCCAAAGAAUUGAUGCUUUUGAACUGUGAUGUUGGAGAAGACUUUUGAGAGUCCCUUGGACUGCAAGGAGAUCCAACAAGUCCAUCCUAAAGGAAAUCAGUCCUGAAUGUUCAUUGGAAGGACUGAUGUUGAAGCUGAAACUCCAAUACUUUGGCCACCUAUGCGAAGAACUGACUCAUUUGAAAAGACCCUGAUGCUGGGAAAGAUCGAAGGUGGGAGGAGAAGGGGAUGACAGAGGAUGAGAUGGUUGGAUGGCAUCACCGACUCAAUGGACAUGAGUUUGGGUAAACUCCAGGAGUUGGUGAUGGACAGGGAGGCCUUGCAUGCUGCAGUCCAUGGAGUCACAAAGAGUCAGACAUGACUGAGCGACUGAACUGAACUGAAGCCAGCCAUCCCUGGAGUCAUCUCCCUCUCCUCUCUGUCUUGCUCCACAACACGCCCAUUUGCUCUGCAGAGCCACCCCAGACACUGAUGCCUUUUUUCUUGCUGCUGCUCCCACCUGGCUUGCUUUCCUCUGAAGCCUCUGUUUAUGCAGAUUCUCCCUGCAGGAUUCUACUCCUGGACUUCCAAGACAUCUUCCCUGACUCUCCCAGCUCUCAAUAACCUUUUUAUUGACUUGCAUCAUGCUCAGAAUAAAAGCCCAUGGCCACUGAACCCCAUGGUUAUCCUCUUCCCAGCUCUGCAGCUUCCCCAACACUCUCCGCAUCCUUCUUCUGCUCCAGACACACUGGGCUCCCUGCCGUUCCCCAAACCGUGGUGCCACUUCCCACCCAGGGCCUUACACCUGUGGUCCUCCUCCUCUGGCCAAUGUACUCAGCUGAUGUCCCCAAGCUGCCUCCUUAGAGAGGCCUUCUCCACCACCCAUUUACUCUGCUUUUGUGCCCCUCAACUCUCUAUCCUAAGGCUCAUUCAUUUUCUUUCAAAGCACUUAUGAUUGCCUGAGAUUAUACUAAGUAUUUAGUUAGCUAGUUGCUUAUUAUCUGUCUUCUCCAUUAGAAUGCAAGCUCCUUAAGGGCAGACACUUAUCCACUGCUUUACCUCAUACUCCUAGCACAAUGUCUGGCCCAUGGGGCUCUCAAC
ensembl:lincRNA